AAACAUCGCCUCCUGCCACCACUCAUUAUAGGAGGUCCCGCCUGCCCUGUGACCAAAAGUUUAACGGCCGCGGUAUUUUAACCGUGCAAAGGUAGCGCAAUCAAUUGUCUUUUAAAUGGAGACCUGUAUGAAUGGCAUAACGAGGGUUUAACUGUCUCUUUUUCCUAGUCAAUGAAACUGAUCUACCCGUGCAGAAGCGGGUAUACACACACAAGACGAGAAGACCCUAUGGAGCUUUAGACGCCAACCAGCUACGAAAAGCGACCACUGACUGGAUCCUCAGACAACGUAAUUAUGGCACAAACGUCUUCGGUUGGGGCGACCACGGGAGAUAACAAAGCUCCCGAGUGGAUAGGGGGAUACCCUAAAACCCAGAGCCACAGCUCUAAGUCACAAAAUAUUUGACCAAUAAUGAUCCGGCUUUAUGCCGACCAACGGACCAAGUUACCCUAGGGAUAACAGCGCAAUCCCCUCCCAGAGUCCAUAUCGACGAGGGGGUUUACGACCUCGAUGUUGGAUCAGGACAUCCUAAUGGUGCAGCCGCUAUUAAGGGUUCGUUUGUUCAACGAUUAA
rnacentral:rRNA from 1 species